UACGUAGGGGGCUAGCGUUGUCCGGAUUUAUUGGGCGUAAAGGGCGCGUAGGCGGCCUGCUAAGUCGAACGUGAAAUCCCCGGGCUCAACCCGGGAACUGCGUCCGAUACUGGCAGGCUUGAAUCCGGGAGAGGGAUGUGGAAUUCCAGGUGUAGCGGUGAAAUGCGUAGAUAUCUGGAGGAACACCGGUGGCGAAGGCGGCAUCCUGGACCGGUAUUGACGCUGAUGCGCGAAAGCCAGGGGAGCAAACGGG
rnacentral:rRNA from 1 species